rnacentral:rRNA from 1 species
ACAGCAGCCGCCACGGUAAUACGAGGGGGGCAAGCGUUGUUCGGAUUUAUUGGGCGUAAAGGGUGCGUAGGCGGUUUGGCAAGUUUGGUGUGAAAUCUUCGGGCUCAACUCGAAGUCUGCAUCAAAAACUGCCGGGCUUGAGUAUGGGAGAGGUGAGUGGAAUUUCCGGUGUAGCGGUGAAAUGCGUAGAUAUCGGAAGGAACACCUGUGGCGAAAGCGGCUCACUGGACCAUAACUGACGCUGAGGCACGAAAGCUAGGGGAGCAAACAGGAUUAGAUACCCGCGUAGUCCCUGUCUCUUAUAC